UUGGGGACUGGCCAUGAAUGUUGUCCCAGAGGUUGCCUCCAGCACUCUACCUCUCCCAACACAGGAUGGAGCCAGGUAGGAUCCUGGAGUGCAGGUGGGAGGCUGUGCCAGAAGUCUGAAGUUGAGAUAUCAUCAGAGCCAGUCCCUCCUGGAUAUGCACAAGGCAGCAGUCAUGGAUGCCUCCUUACUAGUCUUCAGUGCUCAGUCAUCCUGGCCGCCCUUGGCUCCUGGACUCACCUUUUCAGUGCCUAUAAGUUUCAAGGGAAGGCUACUCUGUGUGUCUACUUUCCAGAUCUCACCUUGACUUUAUCUUUGAAGGACACCAGCCGCUGGACUGUGGGUCCAGCCUAUACCAAGCAUGAUCUCAUCAUGAAUUACUUAAUGUAUCUGUGAAGGUGAAUUGGGUAUUAAUGUAGAUGCUAUGGGAGUUAG